UGAGGCAAGCCAAGCUGUGAGGAGUCUGCGGGUCAAGGCUUUGGCAGCGUGGAACCUGGGACAUACAGUCCCCCUUGAUACGGCUGUUCGGCAGACCAACUUUGUUGUAAAUAUUUAGAUAAAAAUGGGCUUUAGAGCAGCCACAUCUGAAGACCCACAAGGCUGAAUGUUACACAGGGUAGCUCAGAGGUUGAUGCUAAGACAAAAACCAACAGAGGGCUUAGAGCUCAGCUGUUGGUCCAUGGAUGUUCGUAGAUGUGACUUAAACAGAUGCUUGAAUUGUGCUAUACAUUUAGGCUUGCUUUCCCGCUCUGUCUUCUGCCAUGAGAAGAACAUAUCUCACUAGCCACUGACCGGGACAAGGAAGAUGAGAAAUAGUCAUGGCAGAUCUAUACCCAGCCUAUAGCUCUGAGCGAAACUCUGAGUCAAACUCGGCCUGCAUUUUGCGGACUCCCUGCUGGCCUGAAAAAAUUCGUGUUCAUUGUGGAAAGCCAAUUUUCAUUGUGGAAAGCCAAUGAAAAUAAAAUUCGUGUUCAUUGUGGAAA